rnacentral:lncRNA from 1 species
GUUGAAUUUCAUAUUGCCAGCUUUUCCCAUUGAAAUCUCCAUUUUGAUAUCCAUGCCACUUGUAUUACCACUGAUAUUGCAAAUACAGUUGUGACAUCAAGUAAGUGUCUCUUUAAUGUUUUAUUGGAAUUGAAACAUGAUAUGGUUUUGUUUACCAAGCAAAAGAAGACAGUUAUACUAGACUAGUUAUGCUUUAUGCAAUU